rnacentral:hammerhead_ribozyme from 1 species
GCAUUGCUGAGGAGUCCCACAAUAGGACGAAACGGCCGCCCAGUGC